UAAUAAUUAUAAAUUUUUUUUCAGCACCACGAUACCAAAUAAAGCUAUAAUUAUGUUGCAGUUCACAUAUCUCACCCAAAAACAAAGCAAUUAUAAACAUACUCCUAAUCGAUGUAUUGCACAUAAUAACUGUUUGAAAAAUCUAGCCUGGAAUUGCUCACUUGUCAGAUAGGAGGAGCAAGCAAAGUGCAGGCGAAAUUUCCCCAAAUUACGCGGCAGAAAAUUGUGCGUGCUUGGUUCAAAUGAACCCCACGUUACUAUCUGCAUCAUGUGGUUAAAGAAACAAAGACAAUAUGCCAAAGGAAAGGCCUCUCAUGACACACUGCAUGUGCCUCUUGGCAGAAAUCAAUAUGGCUGUGGCAGACUCUGCAGAUUAAAAGUGUGGACCGACGACCAGAAGCAUCACCACUUUCGGGAUUUUAAUAUUGUUAACAUACUAACAUUCAAGAAUCAAGCAACCUCGCAUGCUCAUUGUCCCUAAAGUUUAAAUGAAGGUUUAAGUACAAAUGUAGGGAUGGCAAUGGGGAGGGGACGAAUCUCUCUGUACCCAUCCCCGAUAUUUUGCGUAUGUCUCCGUCCCCUCCCCGUCCCCGUCAGAACUACUUGAGAGAAUCAUCAUCUCCUCCCCGAAUAAUAACAGGGGAUCCCCGAAGGUCCCCGAUCCCCGAAUAACUAAUAUAUUUUUUUUUGUUUUCGAUUUUGAGUUAAUCAUAUUAAAAUAAAAAAUUCAAAUAAAAGUAAAGUUCGAAAUAUAUCUUACAUUAAUAUCCAUUACAAAAGUCACAUACAUUAAAUUAGUAAGUAACGCAGCAUGCAAGGGAUACAAACUUCUUUUACCAACUAUCAUGAACAAAUUAAUAGUCUAAUACAAAAUUGUUACAAAUAAAAUCGAAUUUAGAUUCAAAAUUAACUUUUUCAAUGGUGACGUGGACACUUUAUAAAUGUGGACUAUUCCCUUUACAACACAAUAGUUAAAUCGGAGCAAAUCAAGAGCAAAUAUUAGAUUAGAUUAAAUUAGAUAUUAAA
rnacentral:lncRNA from 1 species